AAAAGAGUGGAAGGAGGUGAGCGCGGCGAGGACCGAGGCGAAGGAGGGUCAGUGCGGAAACUCGGUGUGAGGGGCCGAGUGAGGAAGGUUCCUGCAGGGCGGGGACCCGGUUUUAGGAGGUCGCGGCCCUGCCUUUACCGGAGGGCGAGUCCCCGCCAAGCCCGGGCUUUGGAGAUGUACCGAAGAGGGGAGGGAGGACUAGGUACAGAAAUAAACCGCGGAGCAAGAAGCACACAGUGCCGAAGACAGAAAGCCGGAGAAGUCGAAACCGCCUCCUCAGCCUCUGGGGGAGCGUGGUAGGGGAAGAGUCACAGACUGACCCUACGUCUCCCGCCGGGAACCAACUGCAGUGGUACACCCCACGGAAAGCUACGUCUCCUUACCGACGGCGCACGCCCCAACAGACUACAACUCCCAGAAGCCCCCGCCCGCGUUCCGGCGACAGCGUGGCAGCACGGGCCGCUUCCUUAUCCGAGAAAUUAACAACAUAAAGAAGAAAAUGUUUGCGAAGAAGAUUUUAUGUGAUCAAUCAACAAAGACAUGAAGCAUGGAGAUUUUGAGAAAGGUCAGGAAACUAUAGAGAAAGACAGGU
rnacentral:sRNA from 1 species